CCUACGGGAGGCAGCAGUGGGGAAUAUUGCACAAUGGGGGAAACCCUGAUGCAGCGACGCCGCGUGAGUGAAGAAGUAUUUCGGUAUGUAAAGCUCUAUCAGCAGGGACGAAAAUGACGGUACCUGAUUCAGAAGCCCCGGCUAACUACGUGCCAGCAGCCGCGGUAAUACGUAGGGGGCAAGCGUUAUCCGGAUUUACUGGGUGUAAAGGGAGCUUAGACGGCAGCACAAGUCUGGAGUGAAAUGCCGGGGCUUAACCCCGGAACUGCUGUGGAAACUGUGCAGCUAGAGUGCAGGAGAGGUAAGUGGAAUUCCUAGUGUAGCGGUGAAAUGCGUAGAUAUUAGGAGGAACACCAGUGGCGAAGGCGGCUUACUGGACUGUAACUGACGUUGAGGCUCGAAAGCGUGGGGAGCAAACAGGAUUAGAUACCCUUGUAGUC
rnacentral:rRNA from 1 species